AGGACGAACGCUGGCGGCGUGCUUAACACAUGCAAGUCGAGCGGAAAGGCCCUUCGGGGUACUCGAGCGGCGAACGGGUGAGUAACACGUGAGUAACCUGCCCCAGACUUUGGGAUAACUCUCGGAAACGGGGGCUAAUACCGGAUAUGACACUUCACCGCAUGGUGUGGGUGUGGAAAGUUUUUCGGUUUGGGAUGGGCUCGCGGCCUAUCAGCUUGUUGGUGGGGUGAUGGCCUACCAAGGCGACGACGGGUA
rnacentral:rRNA from 1 species